CGAACGGGUGAGUAAUACAUAAGUAACCUGCCCUAGACAGGGGGAUAACUAUUGGAAACGAUAGCUAAGACCGCAUAGGUACGGACACUGCAUGGUGACCGUAUUAAAAGUGCCUCAAAGCACUGGUAGAGGAUGGACUUAUGGCGCAUUAGCUGGUUGGCGGGGUAACGGCCCACCAAGGCGACGAUACGUAGCCGACCUGAGAGGGUGACCGGCCACACUGGGACUGAGACACGGCCCAGACUCCUACGGGAGGCAGCAUG
rnacentral:rRNA from 1 species